rnacentral:rRNA from 1 species
GUGAGGAAUAUUGGACAAUGGAGGAAACUCUGAUCCAGCCAUGCCGCGUGAGUGAUGAAGGCCUUCGGGUUGUAAAGCUCUUUCGGGUGUGAAAAUGAUGAUGGUAACACCAGAAGAAGCCCCGGCUAACUCCGUGCCAGCAGCCGCGGUAAUACGGAGGGGGCGAGCGUUGUUCGGAAUCACUGGGCGUAAAGCGUGCGUAGGCGGUUAUACAAGUCAGGAGUGAAAUCCCAGGGCUCAACCUUGGAAUUGCUUUUGAGACUGUAUGACUAGAGAUCUAGAGAGGUUGGGGGAAUUCCGAGUGUAGAGGUGAAAUUCGCAGAUAUUCGGAGGAACACCAGUGGCGUAGGCGCCCAACUGGCUAGAUACUGACGCUGAGGCACGAAAGCGUGGGGAGCAAACAGGAUUAGAUACCCGGGUAGUCC